ensembl:piRNA 21ur-6296 ncRNA
UUUCGCAAGACAAAAAACCUC